AGACGAUGCGGUUUGGCACCUCGAUGUCGGCUCAUCCUAUCCUGGGGCUGAAGCAGGUCCCAAGGGUCUGGCUGUUCGCCAGUUAAAAGGGUACGCGAGCUGGGUUCAGAACGUCGUGAGACAGUUUGGCCUCUAUCCUCCGUAAUCACUUAGAGAUGUGAAGGAAGCUGCUCCUAGUACGAGAGGACCGGAGUGGACGAACCUCUGGUGAACCUGUUGUCGUGUCAACGGCAACGCAGGAUAGCUAUGUUCGGAAGGGAUAACCGCUGAAGGCAUCUAAGCGGGAAGCCCCCCCUGAGAUUGCAUCUCUCCAUCAGUCCGCCGCAAGAUCAGCGGCUUGAUCGGCCACAGGUGUACGCACGGUAACGUGUUCAGCCGAGUGGUACGAAUGGACGAUUGAACGUUCUUU
rnacentral:rRNA from 1 species